rnacentral:lncRNA from 1 species
GCUUCUCGCUGGAGUGCGCACCGAGCGGCAGUGACUUCGCCGCUGCUGUAGUUCCCCGGCUGGAUGCGGUGACUGGUGCCAGUGCUCAGGCGCCCGCUGCCCUUGACCUCCCGCCCCGCGAGCCCUAACUCAGCGCAGGAGGACCGGCUGCCGCCGCCGCCGCCGCCAGAGCCUUGGCUGCCCAGUUGCCAGUCCUACCACGGUCGGAGGUAACCUUCCUGGCUCCAGUCACAUGGCCAGAUAAGGUGGUGUGUGUGGGCAUGAAUUAUGUGGACCACUGCAAAGAACAGAACGUGCCCGUGCCCAAGGAGCCCAUCAUCUUCAGCAAGUUUGCCAGCUCCAUCGUGGGGCCCUAUGAUGAGGUGGUCCUCCCACCACAGAGCCAGAUCCACACAACUUAAAGAUCUGCUGUCGAGUGAAUGGGGAAGUGGUCCAGAGCAGCAACACCAACCAGAUGGUAUUCAAGACAGAGGACCUGAUAGCCUGGGUGUCCCAGUGAGUGACAGGGGCUAUCCUGCCAGCCCCGCUCCACCUGCCACACAUGUGGAGGCUGACCUGAGCCCUCCACCUUUGGCUGUGGCCACCUCAGCCAGCCCCUGGUCUCACCGGGUCCUUUUGCUUUGCUCCAGGUUUGUUACCUUUUACCCAGGGGAUGUCAUCCUGACUGGGACCCCCCCACCUCCACCCAGGUGUCGGUGUAUUCAGGAAACCUCCUGUCUUUCUCAAGGUCUCUGAAGGUCCAGACAGCACUGAUGGCGAGCUUUGGGUCCGCACACUCUGGAAAGAAGAGAGAAGUGAAGGCUCUAGGUAGGGAGAACAGAGAGCCACUGGGCACAGGCUUCUCUCCUCUUGUUUAAAGAAGCCCAGGGAGGGAUAGAGCUCUGACUGGACAGAAGACUGUACUCUGCAGCCUGCCUUCCUAGAGUUGGGUUGUCACUGUCCUGCAGGGGGCAGCAGCCACCAGCAAACACCACUGCCUGCAGGAGCCUGGGCUGACUGGUUGGGACUCACCGAAGAUCCCUUCUUCCUGGGCGGUGGCCUGCAGGAACUGGAACAGCUGCUCUGUGUAGCCCAACUCUGCAGAAGAGAGAAGACCUAGACCUGGCACCCAGCACAGACACAGCCUGCCUCGAGGACUGCAAGGGAACAAGGGCCUCACCAGUAUCGGGCAGCUGGCCCUGGCGGAGGAAGGCGGCAGCCUGUGCAAAGGCCUUGAGCAGCGGGCUGAGCAGGCGGCAGAGGAAAAGAAAGAAAUCUGGGCAGUGUGACUGCUGGCUGAGCUGGAGGGGACAGGCCGGGGUGAGUGCAGCUCCCCACCGCCUCCCUACCACCUCCCUCCAGGGGCAGCUUUUUGAAACACACCCUGAAGUACCGGCCGUCAGCCUCUCCGAAGUCAUCACUGUCACUAUCAGUAAAGUCCCCACUCGGUUUCCACAGCA